rnacentral:tRNA from 1 species
AUAUUGUUAGUGUAGGAGCACAUUUAAUUUUGAUUUAAAUAGGGAUGGUUUGAUUCCAUUAUUUUAUG